ACGAAGCAUUUGCGACAGAUUUUUUCGGAAUGAAGUUGCUUAUGACUGAGUGGCGGACGGGUGAGUAACGCGUGGGUAACCUGCCUUGUACUGGGGGAUAGCAGCUGGAAACGGCUGGUAAUACCGCAUAAGCGCACAAUGUUGCAUGACAUGGUGUGAAAAACUCCGGUGGUAUAAGAUGGACCCGCGUCUGAUUAGCUAGUUGGUGAGAUAACAGCCCACCAAGGCGACGAUCAGUAGCCGACCUGAGAGGGUGACCGGCCACAUUGGGACUGAGACACGGCCCAGACUCCUACGGGAGGCAGCAGUGGGGAAUAUUGCACAAUGGAGGAAACUCUGAUGCAGCGACGCCGCGUGAGUGAAGAAGUAAUUCGUUAUGUAAAGCUCUAUCAGCAGGGAAGAUAGUGACGGUACCUGACUAAGAAGCUCCGGCUAAAUACGUGCCAGCAGCCGCGGUAAUACGUAUGGAGCAAGCGUUAUCCGGAUUUACUGGGUGUAAAGGGAGUGUAGGUGGCCAUGCAAGUCAGAAGUGAAAAUCCGGGGCUCAACCCCGGAACUGCUUUUGAAACUGUAAGGCUAGAGUGCAGGAGGGGUGAGUGGAAUUCCUAGUGUAGCGGUGAAAUGCGUAGAUAUUAGGAGGAACACCAGUGGCGAAGGCGGCUCACUGGACUGUAACUGACACUGAGGCUCG
rnacentral:rRNA from 1 species